UACGGGGGGGGUAAGCGUUGUUCGGAAUUACUGGGCGUAAAGGGCUCGUAGGCGGCCAACUAAGUCAUACGUGAAAUCCCUCAGCUUAACUGGGGAACUGCGUGUGAUACUGGAUGGCUUGGAUUUGGGAGAGGGAUGCGGAAUUCCAGGUGUAGCGGUGGAAUGCGUAGAGAUCCGGAGGAAGACCGGUGGCGAAGGCGGUCUGCUGGGCAGUUUCUGACACUGAGGCACGAAGGCCAGGGGAGCAAACGGG
rnacentral:rRNA from 1 species